AUUGAACGCUGGCGGCAUGCUUUACACAUGCAAGUCGAACGGCAGCGCGGGCUUUGGCCUGGCGGCGAGUGGCGAACGGGUGAGUAAUACAUCGGAACGUGCCCAGUAGGGGGGGAUAGCUGGGCGAAAGCCGGAUUAAUACCGCAUACGACCUGAGGGGGAAAGCGGGGGAUCUUCGGACCUCGCGCUAUUGGAGCGGCCGUUGGCAGAUUAGCUAGUUGGUGGGGUAAAGGCCUACCAAGGCGACGAUCUGUAGCUGGUCUGAGAGGACGACCAGCCACACUGGGACUGAGACACGGCCCAGACUCCUACGGGAGGCAGCAGUGGGGAAUUUUGGACAAUGGGCGAAAGCCUGAUCCAGCAAUGCCGCGUGUGUGAUGAAGGCCUUCGGGUUGUAAAGCACUUUUGGCGGGAACGAAAAGGACUGUGCCAAUACCACGGUUCGAUGACGGUACCCGCAGAAUAAGCACCGGCUAACUACGUG
rnacentral:rRNA from 1 species